rnacentral:rRNA from 1 species
UACGGAGGGGACUAGCGUUGUUCGGAAUUACUGGGCGUAAAGCGCACGUAGGCGGCUUCUUAAGUCAGGGGUGAAAUCCUGGAGCUCAACUCCAGAACUGCCUUUGAUACUGAGGAGCUUGAGUCCGGGAGAGGUGAGUGGAACUCCGAGUGUAGAGGUGAAAUUCGUAGAUAUUCGGAAGAACACCAGUGGCGAAGGCGGCUCACUGGCCCGGUACUGACGCUGAGGUGCGAAAGCGUGGGGAGCAAACAGG